rnacentral:rRNA from 1 species
AGAGUUUGAUCCUGGCUCAGAUGAACGCUGGAGGCGUGCUUAACACAUGCAAGUCGUGCGAGAAAAGCUCCUUCGGGAGCCUAGUAGAGCGGCGUACGGGUGAGUAACGCGUGGGCUACCUGCCCAGACGAUCGGGAUAACAGUUGGAAACGGCUGCUAAUACCGUAUACGAAUCAAUUUAUUUUGGUUGAAAGGGUGCCUCUAAACUAUGCAUCCGCGUCUGGAUGGGCCCGCGUCUCAUUAGCUUGUUGGUAGGGUAACGGCCUACCAAGGCAACGAUGAGUAGCUGGUUUGAGAGGAUGACCAGCCACACUGGGACUGAAACACGGCCCAGACUCCUACGGGAGGCAGCAGUGGGGAAUAUUGCGCAAUGGGGGAAACCCUGACGCAGCGACGCCUCGUGAGGGAAGAAGGCUUUCGGGUUGUAAACCUCUGUCAGAAGGGAAGAAGUGCGUAUGUGUUAAUAGCGCAUAUGUUUGACGGUACCUUCAGAGGAAGCAC